rnacentral:rRNA from 1 species
AGUGAACGCUGGCGGUAGGCCUAACACAUGCAAGUCGAACGGCAGCACAGUAAGAGCUUGCUCUUACGGGUGGCGAGUGGCGGACGGGUGAGGAAUACAUCGGAAUCUACUUUGUCGGGGGGGAUAACGUAGGGAAACUUACGCUAAUACCGCAUACGACCAACGGGUGAAAGCAAGGGAUCUUCGGACCUUGCGCGAUUGAAUGAGCCGAUGCCGGAUUAGCUAGUUGGCGGGGUAAGGGCCCACCAAGGCGACGAUCCGUAGCUGGUCUGAGAGGAUGAUCGGCCACACUGGAACUGAGACACGGUCCAGACUCCUACGGGAGGCAGCAGUGGGGAAUCUUGGGCAAUGGGCGCAAGCCUGAUCCAGCCAUACCGCGUGAGUGAAGAAGGCCUUCGGGUUGUAAAGCCCUUUUGUUGGGAAAGAAAAGAAGCAGGUUAAUCCCCCGCUGUUCUGACGGUACCCAAUGAAAAAGCACCGGCUAACUUCGUG